rnacentral:rRNA from 1 species
GUGAGGAAUAUUGGUCAAUGGACGGAAGUCUGAACCAGCCAAGUAGCGUGCAGGAUGACGGCCCUAUGGGUUGUAAACUGCUUUUAUGCGGGGGUAAAGUGAGUGACGUGUCAUUCAUUGCAAGUACCGCAAGAAUAAGGACCGGCUAAUUCCGUGCCAGCAGCCGCGGUAAUACGGAAGGUCCUGGUGUUAUCCGGAUUUAUUGGGGUUAAAGGGAGCGUAGGCCGUCAGGCAAGCGUGUUGUGAAAUGUCGUGGCUCAACCAUGGACUUGCAGCGCGAACUGCCCGACUUGAGUGCGCAGAAAGCAGGCGGAAUUUGUGGUGUAGCGGUGAAAUGCUUAGAUAUCACGAAGAACCCCGAUUGCGAAGGCAGCCUGCUGUAGCGCUACUGACGCUGAAGCUCGAAAGUGCGGGUAUCGAACAGGAUUAGAAACCCCAGUAGUCC